UUUCUUGCCUGAUACUGGUAUGAGUGUCAGCACAUUUUGGAGGAUGUCUUAUGCGGCAUCUGAUGCAGGUUGCAAACGCAAGAGGAUGGAGACCCCAGAGAGCAGGUGCUACCAGAAAGUUCUGAGAUAUGGGCAAGGACUCAGACCCACCUCAGCCUUGGAACUGAGGGCUGCCUCUGUAAGGAGCUGCUGCCUAAAGUGAAUAAUCCCUCUGGAAUUUAGCAUCAGCUUCCACAGGAGCAACUUUCAGAACCCACAAGGACAAGAUAAGCAAUUGCCUGCGUUGGUGUGAGGCUGUCACCCAGCCAUGGCCCUGCUGCCUGCUCUGACUGUGCUGUGCCCUGCAGCCCUGCAUGGCAACUGCUGGCAUCGAGGAAGGAAGAUGCGAAGACUGGCAGAGAACCAGUUACUUUCAAAAGAUCUGGAUAUAUUUUUCCAGAAGCACUUACUGCCCUCUUUCACACAGCAGCAACAGCAGAGCAGUUGUGCUAAGGACCUUUCACUGUUCCUCUUUCCUCAUUCUGAAACCCAGCUAUACCUUUAUCCUCAUUCUGUUGCUUCUCCAAUACCAUCAUAGCCCCUCUCCCUUAAAGGAGGAUUAAAAAAUUAAAUUUGCCUGUA